rnacentral:rRNA from 1 species
GAUGAACGCUGGCGGCGUGCCUAAUACAUGCAAGUCGAGCGAACAGAUGAGGAGUUUGCUCCUCUGCCGUUAGCGACGGACGGGGUAGUACCAGGUGGAUAACCUCCUUAUAAGACUGGAAUAACUUCGGGAAACCGGAGCUACUACCGGAUAAUAUCUUCAACCGCAUGGUUCAAUAGUAAAAGCCGCGUUUGCUGUUACUUUCAGGUGGAUCCGCGCCGCAUUAGCUAGUUGGUAAGGUAACGGCUUACCAAGGCAACGAUGCGUAGCCGACCUGAGAGGGUGAUCGGCCACACUGGAACUGAGACACGGCCCAGACUCCUACGGGAGGCAGCAGUAGGGAAUCUUCCGCAAUGGGCGAAAGCCUGACGGAGCAACGCCGCGUGAGUGAUGAAGGUCUUCGGAUCGUAAAACUCUGUUAUUAGGGAAGAACAAGUGUGUAAGUAACUAUGCACGUCUUGACGGUACCUGAUCAGAAAGCCACGGCUAACUACGUG